rnacentral:rRNA from 1 species
ACGAACGCUGGCGGCGUGCUUAACCCCUGCAAGUCGAACGGAAAGGCCCUGCUUUUGUGGGGUGCUCGAGUGGCGAACGGGUGAGUAACACGUGAGUAACCUGCCCUUGACUUUGGGAUAACUUCAGGAAACUGGGGCUAAUACCGGAUAGGAGCUCCUGCUGCAUGGUGGGGGUUGGAAAGUUUCGGCGGUUGGGGAUGGACUCGCGGCUUAUCAGCUUGUUGGUGGGGUAGUGGCUUACCAAGGCUUUGACGGGUAGCCGGCCUGAGAGGGUGACCGGCCACAUUGGGACUGAGAUACGGCCCAGACUCCUACGGGAGGCAGCAGUGGGGAAUAUUGCACAAUGGGCGGAAGCCUGAUGCAGCAACGCCGCGUGCGGGAUGACGGCCUUCGGGUUGUAAACCGCUUUCGCCUGUGACGAGGCGUGAGUGACGGUAAUGGGUAAAGAAGCACCGGCUAACUACGUG